rnacentral:rRNA from 1 species
UACGUAGGGUGCGAGCGUUGUCCGGAAUCAUUGGGCGUAAAGCGCGUGUAGGCGGUCCGGUAAGUCCGCUGUGAAAGUCGGGGGGCUCAACCCUCGAAUGCCGGUGGAUACUGUCGGGCUAGAGUGCGGAAGAGGCGAGUGGAAUUCCUGGUGUAGCGGUGAAAUGCGCAGAUAUCAGGAGGAACACCAAUUGCGAAGGCAGCUCGCUGGGACGUAACUGACGCUGAGACGCGAAAGCGUGGGGAGCAAACAGG